UUAGGCUCUUCCUUAAACUCGUCUAAUUUUGAACGCCGUCAGUAACAAACUGGUUUACAUUGCAUAGUGUAAACAGGAUAUAACGGUGCACGACAGACUCCACAUAAUUUCCAACCUUCUCUAUGAUAUUUUUAUUCACAUGUCGUAUGUCGAAAAGAUGAAGGACCAGACAUACAGUUUAACACAAUGUAACAAGUUUAAAUUCACUUCUUCCGAAAGAUUACAAGGCAUCCAUUAAUAUUUUUCGACACUCGACUGUGUUACAAGGCGUCCACAGUCACGGGGCAGUCCACAGUCACUCGAAAUCUCCCAACCCUGACCGAAGACAAGACGAACGGGGGCGUAAGUUGCUGCAUGCGAUGAGGUCAGGACUCGAACAUCUGCAGGUGGCACUUUGGGGGCACUUCACUGUUGACGCACUCCCUCAUCCCACUAUGACCACCCAUAGUGGCCAUCUGAAUGCGCUUGCUUUUAUUGGACACAACAUUCUAAUUUACCUUUUCGUAACUGUUUUAAUUCUGCUUCGGCCAGAACACAUCCCAACUGCAAUAGUUCAUCAUCCUCUUUAGAUUCUGAAUCUAAAAGUUGUAAGUUACAAUCGCUGCAACUGCUGCUACUUUACUAGACGCCGCAAUUUCUUCAGCGCUCGGGUACGUUUUCUUUUCGAUUCCUAACUUGUGACGUAUUCCUAGUGCUUCCCCCUCGCUUUGGGAGUGACGUCAACAUUCUCUCCCAGCAUUUGCCGAACCCGGUCUUUCAGAUACGAAUGACGUCAGAUGCAGAGACGAAAUCUGUGGUCUAACGAUAUGAGCGAUCCUGGAAAACCUGUCGUUAUCUUUCCCUAUAUUCGGGUAAUCAGCGCAUGCAUCGUGAACAGACUUUUAACCAUUAAUAUUGUUAAUAGUUCGUAGCUGAUGUCUAUAGCAUUAGCUUGUGUGACGUCACGGUUUGCCUCCUCUACCCUUUGGUAGGCAUCGCUAUAAACACUGUUGUGAUAAGGAGAAAUUCGUCGGUUUGAAAAUAAUUUCUGCAUUGAUAGAACUGCAGUGUUUGCCUAAUAAAGCAUAUUUGUUUUUAAAAUAUUACAAACUUGCGUUUAAUUAUUUCGAUAAUUAAUUAUUUUUUAAUUAUGGUUACGAGUUGUUUUGCUUAUGGUUGUACAUACCGAUAUGAAAAA
rnacentral:lncRNA from 1 species